rnacentral:rRNA from 1 species
ACCCUUAACUCGGAUAAAUGUUUUACAGUUGGAAUAAAGGGGCAACCGAAACAGAAGUGUACUGUGGUCAUCCCAGAGACCUUCCGUAUCGGUUCGCGCUCGUGUCCUGCAUUGAAGCGCACAGACGAGUGGAAGUAUUUAGGCAUAACAUUCACUGCACAAGGAGGACCAGGUACAGUCCAGCCGACGACCUAGUCCGAAGCUGUUGAGGCUGACAAGGUCCCCCCUAAAACCACAACAGAAAUUGUUCGCACUCAGAACAGUUCUUAUCCCACAACUUUACCAUAAGCUGACCCUAGGUAGUGUGAUGAUAGGUGUUCUGAGAAAGUGUGACAUACUGGUACGUUCGACCGUAAGGAAGUGGUUAGGGCUUCCUCUGGACGUGUCAACUGCAUUCUUCCAUGCUCCUCAUACUUAUGGGGGCCUCGGAAUCCCUUCAGUUCGUUGGGUAGCGCCAAUGCUACGUAUGAAAAGAUUGAGCAAUAUUAAGUGGGCCCACCUCGCGCAAUCCGAGGCGGCCAGCUCAUUUCUUACCGACGAAUUGAAUAAGGCCCGGGGUAGAACUCUGGCUGGACUGAAUGAGUUGACAUCGCGUACAGAGAUCGAAACGUACUGGGCGAACAGGUUGUAUAUGUCUGUUGAUGGUCGCGGCUUACGUGAAGCGGGACUUUUUCGUCCCCAACACGGCUGGGUGUGUCAGCCCACGCGUUUGCUAACAGGUCAAGAUUACCGAAACAGUAUCAAGCUGCGAAUAAAUGCCCUACCAUCGAGGUCUCGUACCACGAGGGGCAGAAAUGAAUUGGAACGGCAAUGUCGUGCAGGUUGUGAUGCUCCCGAAACAACAAACCACAUCCUGCAGAAUUGUUACCGUACGCAUGGGAGGCGGGUAGCAAGACAUAACUGUGUAGUCAAUAACCUUAAGAGGAUUCUUGAGGAGAAGGGCCACACAGUACACGUCGAACCAAGUUUGCAGCUGGAAACCUCGGUAAGUAAACCAGACCUGGUGUGUAUCCGUGACAAUCACGCUUGCGUGAUUGAUGCGCAGAUUAUAACGGAUGGACUGUUUCUCGACGAUGUGCACCAUCGCAAAGUUGAGAAAUAUAAAAGACCGGAAGUUAUAUCUGCACUGCGGAGAGAAUUCGGAGUGUCGGGCAACGUCGAAGUCCUAUCCGCGACGUUAAACUGGCGUGGGAUCUGGAGCAAUCAAUCCGUUAGAAGAUUGAUAGCAAAGGGUCUCAUCUCAUCCGGUGACAGCAAUGUCAUUAGCGCCAGAGUGGUAACAGGCGGACUAUAUUGCUUCAGACAGUUCAUGUAUCUCGCAGGUUACACUCGAGAUUGGACUUAGCCUAUACACUAUGUUGGAGAGAAGACGCUUGCUACCUAGGCAAAAUGUGAAAUUAGGUAUAAACAUCGUGGUUGUAAAACUUGAGGUGGGUUUUUAGUACGUAUGCGUGAUUACUUCGUAAUCAUGAAUCGUGCAUGCUAGUGGGGUUUGGCCUCCACUAGUAUCUUUGAAGAUUUUCCUUCCUCAGCGAUCAAAAAAAAAAAAAAAAAAAAAAAUAGCCAAAUGCCUCGUCAUCUAAUUAGUGACGCGCAUGAAUGGAUUAACGAGAUUCCUACUGUCCCUAUCUACUAUCUAGCGAAACCACAGCCAAGGGAACGGGCUUGGAAUAAUUAGCGGGGAAAGAAGACCCUUUUGAGCUUGACUCUAAUCUGGCAGUGUAAGGAGACAUAAGAGGUGUAGCAUAAGUGGGAGAUAUUAGAUUUCGGUUUGGUAUCGACAAUGAAAUACCACUACUCUUAUUGUUUCCUUACUUACUUGAUUAAAUGGAACGUGUAUCAUUUCCUAGCCAUUAUACGGAUAUAUUUAUUAUAUCUUAUGGUAUUGGGUUUUGAUGCAAGCUUCUUGAUCAAAGUAUCACGAGUUUGUUAUAUAAUCGCAAACAAAUUCUUUAAUGAGAAAAUGCAUUUAUGUAUUUUCAAUUUGAAAAUUUGGUAUAACUCCAAUUACUCAGGUAUGAUCCAAUUCAAGGACAUUGCCAGGUAGGGAGUUUGACUGGGGCGGUACAUCUCUCAAAUAAUAACGGAGGUGUCCCAAGGCCAGCUCAGUGCGGACAGAAACCACACAUAGAGCAAAAGGGCAAAUGCUGACUUGAUCUCGGUGUUCAGUACACACAGGGACAGCAAAAGCUCGGCCUAUCGAUCCUUUUGGUUUAAAGAGUUUUUAACAAGAGGUGUCAGAAAAGUUACCAUAGGGAUAACUGGCUUGUGGCGGCCAAGCGUUCAUAGCGACGUCGCUUUUGAUCCUUCGAUGUCGGCUCUUCCUAUCAUUGUGAAGCAAAAUUCACCAAGCGUUGGAUUGUUCACCCAUGCAAGGGAACGUGAGCUGGGUUUAGACCGUCGUGAGACAGGUUAGUUUUACCCUACUAAUGACAAAACGUUGUUGCGACAGCAUUCCUGCGUAGUACGAGAGGAACCGCAGGUACGGACCAAUGGCACAAUACUUGUUCGAGCGAACAGUGGUAUGACGCUACGUCCGUUGGAUUAUGCCUGAACGCCUCUAAGGUCGUAUCCGUGCUGGACUGCAAUGAUAAAUAAGGGCAAUUUGCAUUGU